CUAAGAGUGAGUACAGAGUGACAGUUGACUCACUGGGAAGAAGACAAGGGAGGUGGCUCUCUCUGAAGGAAAAAGACUUUGAAGCUGUCAGGAAACUGGACCAUCUUGAAGGAGUGGUUGAUUCACAGGACCCUAGAUGUGGCAGCCUAAUGUUCCAUUUGUCCAUACAUCUUGGCCAAAACGACUGCAGCAAGUUUCUAUCUCAUUCUCUAAUUUUGGUGUAGACUGUGGGAGGUGCCACGGCUUCUGGAGGUUGCUAUUCCAGGCUCAGGAGUGAUGGAGAUUCAGGGCAGAGUCAGGGGAAUCCUAUCCAUAAUGGAAUGUGCCAGGAAAAUAAACUAGAUAUGUUCAGCAAAUGAUCCAAGUACCUUUUUCCCUGUGUAUUCUAUAAGGAAUAAAUAUUGAGCAAAGUACAUGCUGAUUUAUCCACUCUUCUCCUUCAAAUGUUAAUGAGGCACGACAGGUAAACUGUCAUGCCUCACGUUGAGUAUAUUUAGCUCAGCAUGUCCAGAAUCAAGAUAAUCAGUCAUCAAGCAAUACUGUAAAGUACUUGAAAUAUAAGCUUUGGGCCAAUUGGACCAAAGCUACUUCCCUCUAACUCAUUAGAUGAGGUAGGCCCAUGGAUAGUUGGAGCUAGAGGGAAGAUGCACUAAGAUCCAAAGAGGAGCUAUCCUACAAAGCUGCUGGUGGCUUAAGUAUCUACCUCUGGCUAUCAUUCAGGUUUCCAUCACCCCUUGACUAAAAUAUUGAAACAGCCUCCUAAUUGAUCUCUGCAUUAAUUCUCUUACCACUCCAGUUAAUUCUUCACAUACAUACCAAAGUGAUUUUCCUCAAACGCAGAGAUGACCAGGUCACUCCUCUGUUUGCUGAACACUAGUGGCUCCCUAUUGCCUCAGGGAUCAAAUAAAAUCUCAUUUGAACUUCUGAGGUCCUUCAUAACUUGGUCUCUGUCUAUCAUUACAAGCUUGAAAUGCAUUGAGCAAUAUUUCCCUUCCUACUUUCCACACUCUAGAUAGACUGGCCUUCUCUCUGCUUUUCUCAUCUUCUUGCCAUCCUGCAUGAAUAGAAUAUACUCCUUUACCUCUAUUUCCUAGAAUUUAUGUCUUCCCUUCGUGACACAGCUCAGGAACUACCAUCUUCAUGAAGUCUUCCCUUAUCACCCCAAAAUUCUAAUGCCCUCAAUAACUACCUUGUAUUGAUUUGUAGUUGAUCUCUUUAUAUUUGUCUGUAAGUUCUUGUCAUUGGAACUCUAUUACUGCCAGGAUCAAAUAUAAAACCCUGUUUGGCUUUCAAAGCCCUUCAUCAACCUGCUUCUUCCUACUUUUUCAGUGGUUACAUUUUAUACAUUCCCUCCUCCCCACGUACUCUGUGAUCCCAAUGACACUGUUCUCCUUAUUGUUCCUCACAUAAGGCACUUCAUCUCCCAACUCAAUUUUCUUUUUUCUAACCCUUUCCUUCUGUCUUAGAAUCAAUACUAAGUACCAGUUCCAAGACAGCAAAGCAGUAAAGGCUGGGCACUGGGAGCUAAGUGCCUUGCCCAAAGUCACAUAGUUAAGAAGUCCUACCUAGGUGCCCCACCAACUCUAGCUAUUUUAGCUAUCAGUCUCAAUCAUCUAUUCUUCCUCAUCUUCAUCUCCUGGUUUCCUUCAGAUCCUAGCCAGAAUUCCACCUUCUGCAAAAAAAGUUUUCCCCAACUCUGAGGUAUCACCUCACACCUAGCAGAUUGGCUAACAUGACAGCUAUGGAAAGUAAUGAAUGCUGGAGGGGAUGUGGCAAAGUAGGGACAUUAAUGCAUUGCUGGUGGAGUUGUGAACUGAUCCAACCAUUCUGGAGGGCAAUUUGGAACUAUGCCCAAAGGGCAAUAAAAGACUGUCUGCCCUUUGAUCCAGCUAUAGCACUGCUGGGUUUGUACCCCAAAGAGAUAAUAAGGAAAAAGACUUGUACAAGAAUAUUCAUAGCUGCACUCUUUGUGGUGGCCAAAAAUUGGAAAAUGAGGGGAUGCCCGUCAAUUGGGGAAUGGCUGAACAAAUUGUGGUAUAUGUUGGUGAUGGAAUCCUAUUGUGCUAAAAGGAUAAUAAAGUGGAGGAAUUCCAUGGAGACUGGAAGAACCUCCAGGAAGUGAUGCAGAGUGAAAGGAGCAGAACCAAAAAAACAUUGUACACAGAGACUGAUACAUUGUGGUACAAUCGAAGGUGAUGGACUUCUCCAUUAGUGGCAGUGUAAUGUCCCUGAACAAUCUGCAGGGAUCUAAAAAAUACUAUCCACAAGCAGAGGAUAAACUGUGGGAGUAAAAACACUGAUGAAAAGCAACUGCUUGACUACAGGGUUGGAGGAGAUAAGACUGAGGAGAGACUCUAAAUGAACACUAUACUGCAAAUUCCAACAACAGGGAAAUGGGUUCGAGUCAAGACCACAUGUGAUAACCAGUGGAAUCGUGCCUCAGCUAUGGGAGAGGGAAAGGUGGUGGGAGGUGGG